GAUGAACGCUAGCUACAGGCUUAACACAUGCAAGUCGAGGGGCAUCACAGUGUAGCAAUACACGGGUGGCGACCGGCGCACGGGUGCGUAACACGUAUCCAAUCUGCCCGUUACUCGGGGAUAGCCUUCUGAAAGGAAGAUUAAUACCCGAUGGCAUGUACUUCCGGCAUCGGAGAUACAUUAAAGAUUUAUCGGUAACGGAUGAGGAUGCGUACGAUUAGCUGGUUGGCGGGGUAACGGCCCACCAAGGCUACGAUCGUUAGGGGUUCUGAGAGGAAGGUCCCCCACACUGGAACUGAGACACGGUCCAGACUCCUACGGGAGGCAGCAGUGAGGAAUAUUGGUCAAUGGUCUGACGACUGAACCAGCCAUGCCGCGUGAAGGUGACGGCCCUAUGGGUCUUAAACUUCUUUUGUAAGGGAGCAAUAAGUCUCACGUGUGGGAUGAUGAGAGUACCUUACGAAUAAGCAUCGGCUAACUCCGUGCCAGCAGCCGACGG
rnacentral:rRNA from 1 species